rnacentral:lncRNA from 1 species
UUUAUUUUUUCUGAUAAAUAAUUUUUAUACAUUGGUUAAAAAAUGAAAAAAUCAUAGGACAGUGACCAACGGUCUAAUCCGUUCAUUAAGAGGACAAAGGGAUUUAAUUAAUUUAUUUUUUUGUAAAAAGGGAUACUAUUUUUAAUUAUAAAAAAGGAGGGGGUUAAUUCGUUUUUAUCACAUAAUAGAAAAAUACACAAAAGAUACAAAAUUCACACAAACCCCACAUCAGAUUUUUCCCAUUCUUUCUCAUACACAACUUUUUUUCACUUUCUCUUAUUUUUUUCUACUUUCGACUGGUUCACUGCCACUGGAGCUCCAAAGGGAUUCCUUCCCCACCAUGCGCCACUGCUUCCCCUCUCCCUCUUAUCAUCGGAGGUGAUGGCUGACGAGCGAUGAACGGAACACCACAACCCCUGCUACUGCCUUCACCCCUCUUUGAUCUUUCUCUUUUUCUUAUUUUUUUCCCCGUCUCAUCAGAGUUGAUCACCGGAGGGUGGGCCUCUGGUCAAUCCAUCCUCCUCCCUCUCCCUUUCACCCAUUGUUACCGACAGAUCUAGGCGAAAAAUGCUUUACUCCAGUGGUAUUUUUUUCUAUGCAUAUUUUAUUAUUUUUAUUUUUAUCUUAUGCUUUACUUAAAUAUUUAUUUUUUUCACAUGUUAUAUCUGUUGUACGAAAUUACUUUCUACUUCCAACUUAGUAUUACUGAGAGUAGAAUUUUAUACAAAUAUAAAAGUACAUUACACUAUUUGUCUAGAUGGAAGUAUAGUAUUAUUUUUAGAGGAUAUUAUACAGUGUUACCUGAUCAAUAAUUAAGUCUUUAUUUUUAAACAAAUCAAUGAACUAGAAUAGCUUCAAUUCUACUAAAAACGAUGAGCCAUUACCAUUUUGUUUAUCAUUUUUUUCAGAUCAAGCCAAUAAUACUCUAGCAAAGCAAAAUAUUACAUCAUAAUUUCAAGUUAUUCCAUGUCUUUGUUGAAUUAUUGUUACAUUUCUUUUUGAGUUGCUCAUGAUAUUUUGUUCCAUAUUUUAAAUUGAUUAUUUUAAAUUUUUUUGGGACUGAUAAUGUUUUCGGACUUUUCCUAUGGCUGUCUAUAUUUCUUGUUGUUAUGCUUAGUUGGACUGUUGACUCUAGUUGAUAUUUAUUAAAAAUUUUCUUUAAAAGAUUAUUGUUGUUCUGGUUUAGUUUGGUAAGUUUUCUAAAUAAACUAAAAUCAACUAGAGUCAACAACAGAGCAACUAAAAAUUUGCUUUUAAAACAUAUAUUGGUAUGUUUUCCUGCUUGUUAAAUUUUGUUUACAUUCAUUGAUUUUGAUUAUCUUAUUGAGUUGUGUUGUCUCAAUUGUUAUUUUGAUUAAUUUAUCCUUAUUGUUGGUAUUAAUUUUACAUAGCAAAUGAAAAAAAAAUUCAUUUAUUUUUUAGGCCUCCAUAAAUAAAAAAGACAAAUUUUACAUAUUCAAAUAUGUAACAAAAAUAAAUUUUGAGCAAUGCUGAAAUAUUUAUAGUUUUUAAAACUUUAUUUAAGAAUGCUUUUAAUGUAAAUUCUACUUUUUAUUUAAACAUAUGUACAUAUAAUUUUUGAUUUAUCUUGAUAUGCUACUAAUAUCUUUACCACAAGUAUUUGUACAGGUUUUCAGAAAUACCUGUCGAAAAUGACAUUCAAAGAAGAGCUUAAAUUUUUAUACUUGUACUUUUUACAUUUUUACACUUGUAUAGAUAUCAUCAUAUUGAAACUUUUAUUUUGAGGCGUUGGGUGAGGAUUUUUUUACUUACACAGUAUCUAUCACAUAUUUAGGUAAAUUUAGACUGAUGAUAUUUAUAUUAAAAUUUAUUUAGAUAUUUAAUCAAAUAAUUUAUACUUUUUAUAUUAAAAAUAUAAAGUAGUUUUUUUCUUUCGAACAAUUUUUCUUUAUUAAAUCUUGUAUUUACAUUCAUAUUUCAAUACUUUUGUUUAUAAAUAUAUUUUACGACAGCAUACACAUUAUAUUGUUUCAAUAAAUAUUUUAUAUCUAUAUUUACAGACAUUGUUUUUUCUAUUUUUCUCUUUUAAUAAACCUAAAUCUGGCAGGAAACCACAUUUGUGGAUUCUGAAGGGUGCCUAACCCCUUUCCUUCAAAAUAAUUUGGACCCUGACCUAGAAUUCAAACUGAUUUUGUAGAUUAAACAAAGUCAUACUUGUUAAGCAAAUAAAUAGGUUUCCUAUCUUUUCUUAAAAAAAAUUAGGUGGCGACUCUUAAUAAAUUAAUUCAUUUUAUAGUCCAUAAUUUCGGGCUUGUUUUAACCUUAGGUAAAAAUAGGGUAUGAUAGUCGGUUCUUCAGAGAUGCAUAAUCAGGGUUUUUAGGCCGAAGUGCCCAUUCUCAGUUAGACAGAACUUUUGGAUAGAGCAAGAUGCUCGGGGCUUGUUAUAAUUUUGCAGCUAUGGAUCAUUUCUCAAGUGAGUAUCCUUAACUUAGGAUGAUUCAACGAACAGCAUAAAGUGUUUAAUAGAUUAGAUCAGUACCACCACCAGUGAAAGGUGGUGUUCAAGGUUGUAGAGGUAGUCCCCAGGGUUUUAGAUGAGGUCCUCAGGCAGGUACGAUAGGAUGUUGGUUAGGUGCCUAAUUUAAAAGUAGACAUGGUCGGUUGUAUGUUAUACCUAGUAGUCAAAAGGCAGAGUCUUUGAAUACAAUUAUUACAUGCAUGAUUUUAGUAUGCAAUCAGUAAGAUAUUGCUUUAUUCAACCUGGGAUCCACUUAUCAAUAUAUUUAUACUUAUUAUGCACCAUAAUUAAAGUUUUUUUGGGAGCCUUAUUCUUUGUCAUUGCGUGUAUCUACUCCAGUUGGUGAUCAUUUAGAAGUGGAUAGAGUUUAUAAAUUAUGUUUUUUUAUAGUUCAAUAGUUUGAUACUCGGGUUGACCUUAUUAUGCUAGAUUUAGUGGAUUUUGAUGUGACUUUAUGCAUGGACUAGUUUUACCCAUAUCAUGCGGUCAUGGAUUUCUUUGCCAAGACAGUUAGCUUAGCUAUUCCUUGCAUACCCUCUAUUAUAUUAUAGCAUUAUUUUAGCCAUGAACUGAUGGGGAUUAUUUCUUAUGUUCAGGCUAGGAGAUUGCUAUCAAGGGCUUACAAGAUUUAUCUUUGUUAUUUUUGUGAUAUUAGAAUAGAGAGUCCUUUACUUGAUUUUGUUCCUAUUCUUCUUGAUCUUUCAAAUAUUUUCCAUAUUAACCUACCUAUCCUUCUUCCUAAGCAUGAUAUUGUUUUCUAUUGAUCUUGAAUCAUGCAGUUGACUUAUUUCCAUGGAAGCAUACUGUAUUGCUUCUGUCACUCUUAAGGAUUUGAAUUCUCAACUUUAGGAUCUUUUACCUAAGUGUUUUCUUAGGCCGAGUGUAUAAUUUUGGGGUACUCAUGUUUUGCUUGUGAAGAAAAAUCAUAGUUCCAUGCAUAUGUGUAUUGACUACAGGCAGUUGUAUAGGGUAACUGUAAGGAAUAAAUAUCCUAUUCCUUCCAUUUAUGAUUUAUUUACCAUCUUCAGAGUGUACAGUGUUUUCUAUGAUUGACAUGAGAUUUGGUUACCACCAGUUAAUGAUUCGGGCAGAGGAUAUUUAUGAGAGAGCCUUGAAGACUCAAUACGGUCAAUAUAUUUUUUUGGUGAAGUCUUUUGGGUUAACUAAUGCCCCAGCCGCAAUCAUGGACUUAAUUAAUCAUGUCUUUAAGACCUUAUUGAUCUUAUUUAUGAAACACAUUAUUUAUGAUGUCAUUGUUUAUUCAAGGAAUAGAAUGAAGCAUGAGUAUUAUUUUAGGAUUGGUCUCUAGACUUUAAGAGAUCAUAGGAGCUUUCCCAAAUUCUGAAAGUGUGAGUUCUGUUUAGUUUGUGAUAUUCCUUUGAAAUCUAUUAUCUAAGGAUGGGAUUAUUGUGGAUCUGAAAAAUAUAUAGGCUAUUUAUGAUUUUUCCAUACCUAUAUCUUAAAUCGAGGUUUGCAAUUUUUCUUGAUUUUAUAGGCUAAUACAUGUAGGAUUUUGAGAGAUGUUCUACUAUUGUAGCACAUAUGACCAGAUUAACUCAGAUCGAAUUUUUUUUUCAGUGGGUAUGUAAGUAUGAGUUGAGAUUCUAGAAGAUUAAGGACUUGCUUACUUUUUCUCCUAUUUUGACUCUAUAAAUUGAGGGGAAUAUAUUUACUAUUUAUUGUGAUGCUUUUGAUGUUUUUUUGGGUUAUGUUUUGAUAUAUCAUGGACAAGUUAUUGAAUUUCCUAUGAGGUAGCUAAGCUGCAUGGGCGUAACUACACUACUAAUAAUUUGGAGUUUGCAACAGUUGUUUUUGUGCUUAAGAUCUCAAGAACUACUUUUGUGGUGUGCAUUCCGAGAACUCUACUAACCAUUGUAGUCAUCAAUUCAUUAUGACCUAAUAGAGAUUAAUUCAAGAAAAUACCAGUGGAUUGAGAUCUUAAAGGACUAAAAUAUCUCAAUUAUACACUAUUCGGGUAAAGUAAAUAUAGUAGAAGAUUUCUUGAGUCGAAAGGAAAUGUGUUAAGAGUAGCUUAACCUUCAUUUAAAAUUUGAAGCGGUAUUUGUCUUGGGAUAUUCAGUAUUUAUCAAAAUUUAUGGUUUGAUUUGAUAUUCAUAACCUAGGAUGUUAUUUGCCAGUGUUGAGGUAAGAUCUACCUUGAUAAAGUUGAUUCAGGAGUGUUAGUUUGAGGGUAGUAAACUUGGCAGCAUUCAUGAUUAGGUGGAUUAUGAGGGUAUUCAGGGGUUUGAUAGUCGCAUUUGUGUUUUGAGGGUUGAAAACCUAAUUUAGUUGAUAUUAUUAAAGUCUUAUAGCUCUUGAUUUAUUAUUCACCUUUGAAAAGAAAAGAUGUAUAGAGAUUUGAGAGUGUAUUACUAAUGGAGUGGGAUAAUGAACGAUGUAGAAGACUUUGUAUCUAGGUGUUUGUGUUGUCAAUAGGUAAAGGGAAAUCAUUACGAACUAGGUGGAUUAUUCAAACUCUACCCAUUCCUGAGUGGACGUAGGAAUGGAUUACCCUAUACUUUAAGUGUGGUUUUUCUCGUACUUCCAAAGGUUUCAACAGUAUCUGGCUCAAUGUAGAUUGAUGACUAAAUUGGUGCAUUUCAUCCCAAUUUAGAUUUUCUCUAGCUUUGUGAGGUCAGCCUAUAUCUGUGUUUGGUAGAUAAUUUGCCUUUAUCGAGUACCUAUGUCCAUUAUUUAAGAUAGAGGCUCAGUAUUCACAUCCAUAUUUCAAAGGAUAUUUUAGGAGGAGUUUGGUACUCAGGAUGAUCAUUACACCACAUUCCACUCCAAGAUCGAUGAUUAGUAGGAGAAGAUAAUUUAAGUUUUUGAGGAUUUGCUUUAUGCAUAUGUGAUGGAUUUGCUCUGGCACCAUUUUAGGCAUUGUAUGACAGGUGUUACUGGCCUUCGAUUCAUUGGUCUGACACUGCUGAGGUUAUUCCACUUAGUAAUGAUUUAUUUUGUGAGUUUUUUGAUAGGGCGUGAGUGAUUUAGGAUAUUCUACAAGCAUCUGGCAGAAAAGUUAUGCUGACCAAAAACUUUAUGCUUUAAAGGUUGUAGUUAGUGACCAGGUUUUCCUUUUAGAAUCUACCAUGAAGUGUAUGAUGAGGUUUAGGAAGAGGGUCAAUCUUAGCUCUAGGUAUGUUGGGACAUUUAAGAUACUUCAGAUAGCUAGAUAGUUAUCCUAUGAGUUGGCCUUUCCAUUGGAACUUUAAUUUGUUCACCUAGUAUUCCAUGUAUCCAUGUUUUAGUGCUACAUUAUUGAUGAGUUACUAUGCUUCGGUGGAACUCGUUUCAAUUAGACGACAGAUUGACCAUCCUGGAGGAGCUAGUUUUAGAUUAGCCAGGGAUGUCAGGUUGUUUCACUCUAGAGAGAUUCCAAUGGUUAAGGUUCAAUAAAGACACCGUCAAGUUGAUAAGGAUACCUGGGAGAUAGAGAGUGAGAAGCAGGACCAAUAUACCCACCUAUUUGAGCUUUCAGGUACAUUUUGAUCUUUUACUUUCACAAAGAAAAGUCCUUUUAGUAGUGGAAAUUUAUAUGACCCUCUAGGUCAUUUUUUGUAUUUCUGAACUAUUUUAAUCUUUUGAGAUUUCUAAUAAUUUCCCCAAGUCAUUUAUGAUUUCCCAGAGCCGACAGUGCUGUUACCAGUAAGUUUAGUUGAUUUUUAGAGUUGAAUUCUUAUUUUAAAGUUUUUCUAUUAAGGGUGUAACACCCCGAAUAUGGUAAACAAGAAUGCUACAUGGUUCCUAUGACCCAGAAGGAAUACAAGCUAACCCAUGACUAAUAUCUGUAACUAAGCACUGAAUAAUAUAUUGAAAUUAUACGGAAUACAUAAAAGCUGUAAGGCCAUAAGGUUCAAAACUGAAAAGGGUAUAGCAAUACCAAAAAAAAUCUGAAAUAACUGUUUGACAAGCUAUAGUCUGAAAGCCUCUAAACUUUCUGAAUAAGGAGUUGAUGGGACAUGUCCCCAACAAACUUUGACUACUGAAAUAAACUAAAAACUUAAAUAUUAAUGUGAUAAUCAAGUCCUCGAAGGAUGAGGACUCAUUGCUAACUCUGAUCGCUGAACUGUGAUGCUACUGGUUCUAAGGAGCUCAUUCUUCUAAACCUAUGGUAUAAGACCCCAUAGUGGAAAUGUGUUAGUACUUUGAAUAUACUGGUAUGCAAGUGAGGUAGGCUGAAUGCUAAUGGUUCAUAUGCAUGAACAAUACUAACUAACUGACUAAUAUGAACUUAAGAAUACAUACAUGACUACGUAACCGUAAUUGAGAUCGUGAUAGGACUGAAUACUGAGUUCUGACUACUGAGUUUACUGAUAUAGAUAUCUUAGUCACUGAUGAGUGAGAAAGACUAAUACUGUAUUACUGAAUACUGAGGGACUGAUACUAUGUUACUGAUACAUGAAUAACUCUGUCUUACAGUUUUGAUUAUGAAGAACUGGUCUUGUUGACUGUAUCUAACAGUCCUGAAGAUGAAUAAUAUUAACAUGAGUUUUGAGAACUGAUAUAACUGAUAAUAUGAGUAACUUUCUGAAUAUGAUGGAACUAUCUAAGUUCUGUACUGUAUUUAAAUUGAUUGUAUCUGUCAGUCCUAAAAUCUGAAGAACUAUCUGAGUUCUUUUAUUAAGAUUGAGACUGUAACUGAGACUGUGGAAAGUAGUCAUCUAACCGACAUUCCCCAAUUAUGCUAUAAAAGCUGAGCUGGGGUCCAAUCUAUACCCUAAUUAGAAGGGUGUCAAUACCACGCCACUGGUAAGGACAACAUGUGAGUAACCCUUAUAUAAUAUAUUAAUCGAGCGACAAUGGUGGGAACCCUCACAUAACAAGUUAAGCCACCUUAUCUACCCUCAUAUAGUAGGCUAUGAUGUCUCAACCUAUGCUUGCUACAUAGUUAUGGAAUGCAAGGAUUGCUUCUAGAAAUCACACCCUCGUAUAAUAGGUGAGCUCCCAUCCUUGGGUUCACUCGGUGCUAAUUCCUACUCCCAUCUGAAUGAACACUGAACAUGAUUUACUAAAAUAAACUGAGCAUGGAUUGAGUUAUUUAAUUUCCGUGGCUGAAGAAAUACUACUAAUAUUUAACAACUGACUAAGUCAUAAGAUCAUGGAGAUUUUUGUUGAGUCAUAAGUCUAUCUGAAGUCUACUAGUUCAUAGAAUGACUAAAAGUAUCAUGAAAACAUGUCAUGGAUCUAGGCACACAACUAAUAUUUCGCGUACAAGUACCCCCAUAACUCGAUAGAAGGAAACUGACAUAGCAUGAUUUACUUGAAGACUUGACUAACAUCAUAAUACAUACUACAUUCAUAGGAUCAUUUCAUAAAACACGUAAUAGGCAUGAACUUGUAUGUACAUGGGGAUUUCAUGAUAUCAUGCUAGUUAGACAAUAUUCCUUCAUCUAGGCAUUUAAUCAAACAUAUAACAAGCAUAGUACAUGUAAACAUCAUAUUAUAACAAUUAAACAUCAUGGUUCACUUCCAAUUUCAUCAUACAAGGUUUUAGUCAUGAGAUUUCGUAAAUCUUUAUCUAUACUAAUCAACCCACAUAGAAUUUAUCAUCAAAUCAUGGAAUAGAAAUCAACUCCUCAUUUAUCUACAUGAAAGAGAACAUACAAAACAUGAACAUAUGAAGAAAAUCCAUAACUUGUAGUUGAAAAGGGAUUCUUGGACUUCAUGGAUGAAAGGAUCCCAUGAAUGAACGCUAUGAAUACCUUAGUUCAUGAUUCUACGAAGAUUGACGGAGAGAUUCUUGAAAUUUGAUGGUGAAUUCCCUUGGAAUUGAACCUUCUAUGAAAACCCUAGGGCUUAUUCUUGAUAGUUUUUAGAGUAAUUGAGUAUAAACUACUGAAUUAUAGCCAAAACUCAUGUUAUAAGGCUUAUAUAAAAUGAAAAAUUGACCCUUUUAACCCUAGGACAUGUAUUUAAUUUCUGAGAAAAUUUCCUCAUUUUCAUCCUUGGCGCAACGCGCCACUAUCGCGCCAAGUCACUGGAACUGGACAUUUGGGAAUCUGCAUGGUGGCGCAAUGCGGAGCUAUCUCGUUGCCACCUUUUUUGAGACGUGGAAGUUUGGCAUGACGUGCCACUAUCGCAGAGUUGCAAUGGAAAUUGACAAUUUCCAUUUGAGCUAUCUCUGUGACGUAUUGAAGGCUCAGGUGAUACACUGUCUGACUAAAAAAGCUCUAACUCUUUACCCGAGUGUCGGAUUUGGGCGAAUUUGGUAUCGAUAGAAAGCUUAUUGAAUUUUCCACAUGAAAAUAGUUAAAAUAUUCAAAAAACCACAACUAUAAAAGUGGAUUCAUAUUUCAAAUAAAGCUUCUAACAUUCUUAGGGAAAAAUUUCAAGCUAGGAAAAGUAUAAGUAUUACAAUAUCUCUCUCUUGAGAAUAUUUAUCCUUGAAUGAGACUAAGUGAGAGGGGAGAAGAUGAACUAACGUACAUAUUAAACAUGAAUAACUGAAACAUGAUCUCAUGACUGAAGAGAUGAAUCUAACAUACUGAACAUGCAUGUCUGAUGCAUGACUGAUAAGCUGAAUUCAUGCAUAUCUGAUGCAUAGAUAAUUAGCUUGUGAAUACACGACAGAAUGUUCUGAUGAACUGAAUUUCUCACAGUGAGAAGGUAUGUCUGAUGCAUGAUUACAUAACAAAACUGGUAUAUGAAUGCAUGACUAAAUAUGCAAGAGUACUUAGUACCGAGUUUGUAAUGGGGAUUUGAGCAUGAACUGAAUACCAAGUUUGUGAUGGUAGUUUGAACAUGGAACUGAGUAAGUUUAAGAAAACUAUUACAUGACUGAAAGGCACUGACAAACCCAUGAUUAUGCUAGAAGUAUGCAUAAAGGGGACCUGAGAACAUGACAGAGGCUGAAGUACCGAGUUGAGUUUGCACCUAUCUGAUUAGUUCAUCUUAGGAUGAUUACAUCUUUUCAUAAGAUUUUGGCUAGAGCACGUAGCUUGGGAUAUGGAAACCAAACUAUAUGAAUUUGUUUGUAUAAGAUAGCUGGGUAAGAAGAUCAUAACUUGAUUGAGAUUUGGAAAGAUAAUUUGAUGCCUACUAACACCAUUUAAUAUGAAAUGACUAAGCCUCUUACACUAAAACUAAGAUUACUGAAAAAAUUCAUGAGGUACUGAGCACGAAUGCAUAAACAUACCGACUUAUCUGAUUAACUAGAUAACUGAUAGCUGAAUACUAGGUAUGAGAGACUAGUUUGUACUUAGUCUAAAUAACUAGACUAAGUCUUUAAAACAUUAUGCAUAGGAGAUAAUAAUUGAUUGGAUAACAUGAGGUAAUUAGGCAUGUAUUUAUGAAAAUUAUAUUACCUCAAGAAUGCUAGGCUAAGUAUCUAAUAUUAUUGGGAACAUUUUGUAAAUUGAGGUAUUGAGGUACUACUGACUGAGUAAUCGAUAACUAUAACAUUGUCAAGCUAUCUUGAAAUUGGAAUGCAUUUUUGAUAACUAACAUUUAGACUGGUGCUGAAGUAUUUGAUUCUACGACUGCAUGCUGAUUACUGAAACUGAACACUAAAACUCUAACGAGAUGGUAACUGAAUUGGAUAAAUGCAUGAUGAGGACUGAUAGAAAUCAAGGAUUUGAACGUAUACUCACACUAUAUACUUUUUCCCAACUUAUAAAUGCAAUCUCUUGCUAGUCACUUACUUGCAUGCUACUACAACAUUCAAUCCUAUCAUCAUAACUACACCUUCAUGCAAAGUAAGCAUGAAAAAAUCUCCUUUGAAAUUGAAUCAUUUACUCUCUAUCUUCUAAGCAACUACUAAUUACUACACUAUUUUCACAAAAAGAGCUCAUUGAAUGGAUACUGACUGAACUUGACACUUGAACUGAAGCCUGAGGAUUAGAGUAUUAAUAACAUAGAUUUACCAAAAUGGUUUGAACUGAGGAUAUACAUGACAUAUCUAAGUUUCGCCGAUCACUAGAAUUGGAGCAUGAGUCAUGUGGACUGAACAUACUGUAAAGCAUAACAUGAGUAUGUGGGUCACGAGCUGCAUGAGGGGAGUCAGAAAUUUCUGAAUUUGUGAGACGUAAUUCAUAACACUGAGGGAGCUGGAACUGAACUCCUUAUGCUGGGAACUGAAAGCGCACACAAUACGUGGAAAGUGCAUAAAAAUAGGUUGUGUUCAUGGAACUAAUUCAUAUUGUGGGGUAAAUUGGGACUCCUUAUAUAGGGAAUGGAAACCAUACAUAAUUUAAAUAAAAAUGCAUGAUCAUAAUUCGUGACCAUAGAGUUGACAUGCAAGGCUUGAGUGGAUUUCGUGAUAGCUAAAGUGCAAUACUCUACACUAAGAUAAGGAUGGGUCCGGAAUCGUCUUCCCUUACUGCUUUCUAGACUGGCACUACUACUAGAAUCUGGGAGCCUAAACUGGUUCACUCGAUCUAUCACUUCCCCCUUGGAUUUAAGCCAUCAUCAUAAGUCUGUAAACACUUUACUAAACUCUGAACUAAACCGCAAUCAUCGACACAUACUUACACUUUGUUCGACACAUCAUCUGGUUUUAUUUCUUCAUAUACUUUUACAUAUGAUUACCUUACUAAACACAUCAUCUGGUUCUAUUUCUUUAUGUACUACUAAGAUCACAUCCACACCUCCAAGCCUAACGUCAUGUCAAUAAACUUAAAUUCUUGCUCGCAUUGUUCAAGCCUACUAAUUUACUUUGGUACAACUAUCCCCAUAAAUAUAUAAUCUGUUCAACCUAGAUCAUGUUAUACCAACUCUACUACUGCUGAACUUUUGAGUUCAUUCUUCUAAUUAUAUAUAUAUAUAUAUUAUCAUAGAAUUCAAAGAAGGGAUCUGAUGAAAUAUGAGUUCUCAUGAUCAAGAAUAAUAGUUGUACAACUCUGGAAUAUAACAGAACUGAUGAGAUACUUUUGAGCUUGUGGGCAAUCCCAUAACUGACUGUAGGGUCUGUCUGAGAAAGCCCUAUCUCUAGGACUCGAGCUUCACUUCUUCUAUUACCUUGAAAGUAAGGUAAAGUUGACAUGCGUAAAGUAUGAUGAGAAUCUAUAAGAGUUUCUUAAAGAUCCUUUCUAUAGCACGAUCUGAGAUAUGAAAGAAGGAAAACUAUUUCUAAAAUAUCUCAAAGCCUCCUGCCCAUAAGUGUGGUGCAAAACACCCACAUGUAUAAGAGUCUACUAGAUGUGGCUUGUAGACUUCCUAGGAUACUAUUGAACCUUAGGCUCUGAUACCAAGUUUGUAACGCCUCGAAUCUGGUAAAUCGGAAUGCUACACGGUGCCGAUGACCCCAAAGGAUACAAGCUUAACUAUCACUGAUAUCUGUAAAUAAGCACUAAAUAAUACACUAAAAUUAUGAAGAAUACAUAAAAGUUGUAAGGCCAUAAGGUUAAAAACAGGAUAAACAUCUGAUAAAACAAUGUCUGAAAGCAGUAUAGCAAUACUAAAACAAAUCUGAAAUAACUGUCUGACAUGCUAUAGUCUGAAGCCUCCAAACUCUUUGAAUAAGGAGUUAAUAGGACAUGUCCCUAAAUAACUCUAAUUACUGAAAUAAUAUAAAAACUGAAAUAGUAAUGUGAUCAUCAUUGUAAUGCCCCACAAAAUCCUCUUCUAGUCUAAGCCUUGGAGCGUAUAUUGGUAAAGCAAAAAUCUGAAUCUAAAUGUUUCAGAAAUAUCCUCCAAAGUAUGAAAUACUUUGAAUCGUGUGGGAAUUAAUUUGACAAUAAAUUAAGAUCAUAGCGGUUCCCUAACUCAUGGACGAGUUGAAAGCUUUCCUAUCGUUCAAUUUUUAGUGACCGUCAAAAUUUGGGUCAAAUUAAAUUGACCAUUAAUCCUUAUAUAUAUCGAAUUAGAGGACCUACUAUAUAUCAAGUGAAAUAUCUUUGAAUUAUGUUUAUAACGAUACCAAUUUUGUCCAAAACCAAUAUCGAAGCAUAGAGUUAUAAUUAUUGCACUCCAGCAUGUCAGCCUGUAAAAUUCGUGAUGACCUUUUGUGACAACUCAUCACAAGCCUGAUGACCCAUAAAAAAAUGUCGUUACCUUAAGGCAGAAAGUCACAAAAUCCACCCUUUUUGUGAUGAUAAUUCAUGACGGCCCGUCAUAGGCCUGACAGCUUGUCACGGAUGUCGUCAGCAAUAUUUUUCCAGCAAUUUUAGAAUAUUUUUGCAUGGGUAUUUUGGUUUUUUCCCACCUUUUGGAAGCCUCUAUAAAUUUGGUAAACCUCUUCAAAAACCCUAAUUUCAUCAAUUUUUUCUUCCAAUUCUCUCAAAGGAAAAUAACUAGGGUUUCAUCAAGAGCCCUAAUCUUCCAAAAAUCAACCAUAAAUUCUUUAAGAUUUCUUCAAGAAUCAAGUUCCUCAUAGUGUGGGCUUCAAGAACUAUUAAUUACAAGUGCAGAUAGAGUCUCAAGCAUUAGAAUUCAUCCAAUUUCAAAGAUUAAGGUAUGUAGAUGUUGAUUCUUGGGUCCCUUUCAUCCAAGAAGCUCAAGAGUCCUUUUUAAAACUAAAAGAUUUUUAUGUUUAUGAGUUGUUAAUGAUUUGUAUGAGUUUAAAUUGAUGUUUAAUUUGUUUUUGAGUUUUGAUUUAUGAUUGCCUAUAAAAUUUAUGAGCUUUGACCCUAGUAUGUGGAAUUCAUGUGAUGCUUGUGAUAGACCUUCUUGAAGUUAUUUUCUAUGUGAUGUGUUCAUGACUUUUCGGUGUAGAAAUGGUUGAAUAAGUGAAGCACAUCCCCCAUAGGUUUGAUAAAGAGCUUAGGUGAAGCAUAUGGUCCAUUAUAGUAUGUUGAAUAAGAAACCCAAAUUGUGAGUUAGUUUGUGCUUAGUGUUUGAUAAAACGCCCAAAUGAAUGAGGUAUUCCAUGGUAUUAGGAAAUUCCCAAAUAAGUGUGAACCCGUGCAUGUCUAGUGUUUUGUUAAAGGACCUUAGUGAACAAAUGGAGAGGUGAUAGGAGUAAAUUCCCCAAUUAUGUGAUCUUGAUAUAUGUUAAGCUUUUAAUAUAUGCCAAGUGGUUGGUAAGUAAGUUAUGACGUGAUAGUGUGAAGUUUCCCCAAGCCAUGUGAUAUCUAAAUACAUGUCAAGACUGAUAUAGGUAUGAAGUACAUGAUAUAAGACUUUAUUGAAUGGAGUAUGAUCUAGUAGCAUGUUUUCCCCUACGUUAUUAUAUAAUUAUGAUUCUGAGAUCCCUGAAGUGACCACUCAAUGACUGUGAAAAUACUUUAAUGAUUAUGAGAUGCUUUGAUGAUUUUAAUGAUGUAUGAAUGGUUAUGAUGAUAUAUGAAUGAACGUGAUGAUGAAUGAAUGAUUAUGCUUUAUUUUUAUGUCAUUGAGUCAUGAGGGAAUUUAUACCCGAUAAUAGAGCUGUUGUCUAGAGCCCGUAUCAGUUUCUCAAUAAUUCCAGUUUAGCCAUGAUUCUCAGAACUCAGUGAAUUAUAGAACUCUGUAUCCUAAGACAAGUGCAGAACUUAAGAAAGCUCAGUAAUCUUAAUUAUCUUUGUAAUCUCUGUAUCGCUAGUAAUCUAGCCUUCGUCCUAUAAUAAUAUCAGAUCUAAUAGUAUUUAAGUGAUGUAAUUCUAAUCUUAGAAGUGAUUCUUGUAAUCUAUUCAAGAUCUGUACCAUCAGUCAGAUACCUUGAUUCGAUCUCUUUUCCGUCAGAUACAAAACUAAGUAAUCUCAGCGUAGUUCAGUUAGAUCUUUUGAGAAACAUGAUCAGUAUCAAAUUCAGCUAAAUCUAAGUUUAGUUUAAGAAUCAGAUCAGUGUCUUUUAGAUGGGAGUAGGAUUCAGCACCGAGUAAACCCAAGGAUUGGAACUCACCUGCUAGUAGAGGUUGUGAUUCUUAAAAGUAAUCCUUGCAUUCCAGAACUGUGUAGCCAGCAUAGGAAAAUGACUCACCUAUCAAGGAAGCUUGACAUUCUGUUGAUGGUCACCACCAGAGAGCCUGACCUUAGACAAAAACUAAUAUAUUUACCCAUGAAAUGGUAUUGGCACCCUUCCAACUGGUGGUUAAGGUUGGACCCCACCUGGGGUAGGUUGGGGCAUGUCAGUUAGAUGACUACUUCAUACAGUUUUAGAUUCAGAUUUAAUCUCAGUUUUAAAAUCAAUCUUUAGAAGUCAGGACUAUCAGAUACAGUCAUCUAUCUUUAUAAAGAACUCACAUAGUUUCAUUGAUUUAUGAACCAUCCCGUUAGAUAGGCUUGGUCUCAUAUACAGUUGUUUGAUAUCAUAUUCAGAGAUAUGCCACUAGACAGGCUUGAUCACAGUAUCAGAUUUCUAUUGAAUAUUUCUGUCGUCAGAUUUAAAUAUAAUCAUAUUUCUUAGCAUUGAUAAAGCUUCCAAAGUAAUCGGUUAGAAAAGUUGAUCUCAGUCUCAGACCAUGUUGCGUAUUCUUAUUAUCAUAUCUAGAGAUCUCCUAUCAGAUAGGCAUGAUCUACAUCUUAGAUUCUAUUAAGUACUUAUGUUGUCAGAUUCGGACAUGAUCAUUCUUCUUAUCAUUGAGAAUCGCUCUGGAAUAAUCUAUUAGAAAAGUUGAUCGCUAAUUCUAUCAGUUAAAAAAAGUAAGCUCAAAGUUCAGUCCUUGAUGUAAGUACAUCCAGAUCCUCUGUUAUCAGUAUAAGAUAAGUCAGUGAUUCCGUAUCUCAUUUAUAAUAGAGAGUUCAUUCUGCAGUAAGGUGGUAUCUAAGUUUUAGUAUCUAGAGUUACGAUUAUUGUGUUCAUGUUCUGUGGAUUUUUGUAUGUGUUCUCAUGUGAUAUCUUCAUGAUUAGUCAGUUUAGAUAUUAUGCAUGCAUGCACCCUUGCAUUAGCCUACCCCAUCUACAUACUCAGUACAUUUCUGUACUGACGCAUUUGCGCUAUGGUCUUUUAUUUGACCCUAUAGGUUCAGAGGCACAGGAUCAAGAAUAUCUUCAGUAUUUUAAUCCUAGUCAGUAGCAGUAGCAGUGAUUCCUCUUCUUUUGAGAAUGAAGCUUAGUUUACUAUUAUUGCUUCAAACUUUGUUUAUUUUUAGAUGACGGAGUUAGUUGGGGACUUGUCCCAUUAACUCUACAGUUCAGAUAGUUAACAGGCUUUUUAUAUGGAUGUAUUAGAAUUCAGUUUUCUAUAGUAUGAGUAUUCAUACAUUUGUUGAACCUUAUGACUAGCUUUUGCAUUUAUUAUAGAUAUUAUGCAGUGUAUAGGUAUGGAUAUCAGUAAAGGAUUAGUUUGUGGUCUUUCAGGGUCAUAAGCAUCAUGUGACAUCUCGGGAUGAGAUCUCAGGGAAUUACAAACUUGGUAUCAGAGCCUAAGGUUCAAGAGUGUCCUAGGGAGUCUGAAAAGCCAUAUCUAGUAGAGUCUUGUGCAUAGGUGUGUAGCGCGUCAUAUUUUUGUACAAGAUGCUACGGGAUGUUCUUAGGAGUAGUUCCUCUUCUUUCAGUGAUCAUUUUAUGUGAGUGAGCAUGAGCUCAAGUUGAUCCUUAGUCUAAUCCACUUCUUUAUUCUAAUUACAGAGUAUGCCUCCUGAUAGAGAUUUUGUCCGUGGGUGGUGAUCAACCUGUAUAGCUAGUAGAUCCUGAGAAAGAGAGUGAGUCACAUAUAGAGUUUUUGGCAGCUUUUUAGGUGCUAGCCCAAGUUGUGACUAAUGUUCAGGGGAAGCAUCAGGCUACAGCCUCACCUCAGCAAAAUAGGAAUUCUGCCGCAGCCAGGGUUAGAGAUUUUAUGAAAAUAAACCCGCCAGAAUUCUUUAGUUCAGUAGUAGGUGAGAACCCACAGCUUUAUCUAGAGGAGGUGAAGAAAAUCACCCAAAUUAUGUAUAUUUCUGAAGAGAGAGAGUGAGUAACAAAGCCAAGAUAGGUAGUUAUGGUUUCUCACAGUCAGGGUCUGAAGGUGGUAGUAGUUCUUAGUAUGGUCGGAGAUUUUUAGUCCCUUCUCCAUCUUUAGCUAGUGUACCCGCACCUGUGUUUGGGGGUGGCAGAUCUGAGAUAGCGCCAAGCUCCAAAUCCCAGAGUAGUGCUAGUGGUGCUCUUACCCAUUUAAGUUUUGGAGAGUGUGGUAGGAGCCACCAUGGUGUGUGUAGAGCCGAUAGUGAUGUAUUCUUUGGGUGUGAUGAGCCAGGCCAUAGAAUGUGAGAAUGUAGAAUGCUGACUCAAAGGGGUAGACUUCAUGCAUUUCAGGCUCCCCUUGAUUGGGAAAAAUCCCCGAAAAUAGACACAGGUAUGUUAUGAGCCCUUUAUCUUUAUGACAUGCAAUGAUAGAUCCUUUGCUCCUAUUUUUAGCUUAUAUGUUAGCAUGAGUCAUGCAUGGGUUUCAGAUCUUGAUCGGUCAAUCAUAACCCAGUCUGUUGGUGCCCACGCACCGCCCCAAUAUUUCAGCGAAGUUUGUUUAGAAGGACAUAGUAUUCUCAAAGAGGAGAUACCCCAUAGUAUUAUAAUGUUUCAUCCCAUUAGAUUCAUCUCGAUGCAUGUUCAUGUUUUCUUUAUGGAGUUAGUAUUAGUUGUCAUUGCAUUAUCAAGAUGUGCUUUUGAAAGUCAACUUAGCCGGAUAUUUAUGCAUUAGAUAUGCACAUUUAGUAGAAAGAGUUUAGCUUGUCAGCGUGUGUUUAGUUUUGUAUUCAUGAGAUCAUCCCAGUCAUAAGUCCAUGCAUCAGAUAUGCAUGUGUAUUAUGAGAAUUCAGCUAUGAAUAUCAUCAGUCGAGUAUUCCAUGCAUCAGAUAUGCAUGCCCAGUGUGAGAACUCUAUAUGUCAGUCGUGCUAGUUGCAUAGUCCUGAUCUAAGAUGUUUCCAUUUCUUGAGUAAGUUUUCUUGAUCCGUAUUCUCAGUCUAUCAAGCGACAUUCGAGGACAAAUGUUUACAAGGGGUAGAUAAUGUAAUGCCCCACAAAAUCCUCUUCCAAUUUGUGCCUUAGAGCAUAUUUUGGUAAAGCAAAAAUCUUAGUCUAAAUGUUUUAGAAAUAUCCUCCCAAGUAUGAAAAACUUUGAAUUGUGUGGGAAUCAAUUUGAGCAUGAAUUAAGAUCAUUGAGGUCCCCUAACUCAUUGAUGAGUUGAAAGCUUUCCUAUCAUUCAAGUUUUAGUGACUCUCAAAAUUUGUGUAAAAUUAAAUCGACCAUAACUCCUUGCAUAUAUCGAAUUAGAGGACCUAUUUCAUAUCAAAUGAAAGCUCUUUGAAUUAUCUUUCCAACGAUGUAAAUUUUGUCUAAAACCGAUAUCGGAGGAGAGACUUAUGCUUAUUUUACUCCAGCAUGUCAGCCUAGAAAAUCUGUGAUGACCUUUUGUGAUGACUUGUCACAAGCCUGAUGGCCUGUCACAAAUAUCAUCACCUUAAGGAACAAAUCCACAAAAUCCAUUCUUUUGGUGAUGACUAUUCGUGAUGGCCCGUCACAGGCCUGACGACUUGUCACGGAUGUCGUCAGCAAUAUUUUUCCAGCAAUUUUAGAAUUUUUUGCAUGGGUAUUUUGGUCUUUUCCCCCUUUCUAGAAGCCUCUAUAAAUAUGGGAAACCUCUCCCAAAACCCUAAUUUAAUCAAUUUUCUCUUCUAAUUAUCUCAAGGGAAAAUAACUAGGGUUUCAUCAAGAACGCUAAUCUUCCAAAAAUCAUCCCUAAAUUCAUCAAGAUUUCUUCAAAAAUCGAGUUCCUCAUAGUGUGGGCUUCAAGAAUUAAUAAUUACAAGUGCGGAUAGAGUCUCAAGUAUUAGAAUUCAUCCAAUUUCAAAGAUUAAGGUAUGCAUAUGUUGAUUCUUGGGUCCCUUUCAUCCAAGAGGCUCAAGAACUAUUUUUAAAACUAAAAGAUUUUUAUGUUCAUGAGUUUUUAAUGAUUUGUAUGAGUUAAAAUUUAAGUUUAAUAUGUUUUUGAGUUUUGAUUUAUGUUUGCCUAUAAAAUUUAUGAGCUUUGACCCUAGUAUGUGGAAUUCAUGUGAUGUUUGUGAUAGACCUUUUUGAAGUUGUUUUCUAUGUAAUGUGUUCAUGCCCUUUGGGUGUAGAAAUGGUUGAAUAAGUGAAGCAUGUCCCCUAUAGGUUUGAUAAAGAGCUUAGGUGAAGCAUAAGGUCCAUUAUAGUAUGUUGAAUAGGAAACAAAAAUUGUGAGUUAAUUUGUGCUUAGUGUUUGAUAAAACCCCCAAAUGAAUGAAUUAUUCCAUGGUAGUAGGAAAUUCCUAAAUAAGUGUGAACCCGUGCAUGUCUAGUAUUUUGUUGACGGACCUUAGUGAACAAAUGGAGAGGUGAUAGUAGUAAAUUCCCCAAUUAUGUGAUCUUGAUAUAUGUUAAACUUUUAAUAUAUGCCAAGUGGUUAGCAAGUAAGAUAUAAAGUGAUAGUAUGAAGUUUUCCCAAGCCAUCUGAUAUCCAAAUACAUGUCAAGACAAAUAUAGGUAUGGAGUACUUGAUAUAAGACUUUGUUGAAUGGAGUACGAUCUAGUAUCAUGUUUUCACCUAUGUUAUUAUAUUAUUUUUAUUUCGAGUUGCCCAAAGUGACCACUCGAUGACUGUGAAAAUACUUUAUUGAAUAUGAGAUACUUUGAUGAUUUUAAAGAUGCAUGAAUGAUUGUGAUGAUAUACAAAUGAACGUGAUGAUGAAUGAAUGAUUAUGCUUUACUUUUAUGUCAUCGAGUCUUGGGGGAAUUUAUACCCGACAAUAGAGCUGUUGUCUUGAGCCCAUGUCAGUUUCUCAAUAAUUCCAAUCGAGCCAUAAUUCUCAGAACUCAGUGAGUUAUAGAACUCUGUAUCCUCAAACAAGUGCAGAACUUAAGAAAGCUCAGUAAUCUUUAUUAUCUCUGUUAUCUCAGUAUCGCUAGCAAUCUAGCCUCUAUCCUGUAAUCACCUAAGAUCUAAUAGUAUUCAAGUGAUGCAAUUCUAAUCUCAGAAUUGAUUCUAGUAAUCUAUUCAAAAUCUGUACAGUUAGUCAGAUAGCAUGAUUCGAUCUCUUUUUCGUUAGAUAUGGAACUAAGUAAUCUCAGCAUAACUCAGUCAAAUCUUUUGAGAAACAUGAUCAGUAUCAGAUUCAGUAAGUUCAGUUUAAGAAUAAGAUCAGUGCCUUUCAUUUAGGAGUAGGAUUCAGCACCGAGCAAACCUAAGGAUGGGAUCUCACUUGCUAGUAGAGGUUGUGAUUCUUAAAAGCAAUCCUUGCAUUCCGGAACUGUGUAGCCAACAUAGAAAAAUAACUCACCUAUCAAGCAAGAUUGAUGUCCUAUUGAUAGUCACCACCAGAGAGCCUGACCUUAGAGAAAAGAUAAUGUCUUUACUUGUGGUACAGUAUUGGCAGCCUCCCAAUCGGGGGUUGAGGUUAGACCCCACCUGGGGUAGGUUGGAGGUAUGUCGGUUAGAUGACUACUUCCCAGAAUUUCAGUUUCAGAUUUAGUCUCAGUUUCAGAAUUAGUCUUCAAUAGUCAGGAUAGUCAGAUAUAGUCAUCUAUCUUUAUGAGGAACUCAGAUAGUUCCAUUGAUUUAUGAACCAUCCCAUUAGAUAGGAUUGGUCUCAUAUAUAGUUAUUUGAUAUCAUAUUCAGAGAUAUACCACCAGACAGGCUUGAUCACAGUAUUAGAUUUCUAUUGAAUAUUUUUAUCGUCAAAUUCAGAUAUAAUCAUAUUUGUUAUCAUUGAUAAAGCUUCAAAAGUAAUCAGUUAGAAAAGUUGAUCUCAGUCUCUGACCAUAUUGAGUAUUCUUAUUAUCAUAUCUAGAGAUCUCCCGUCAGAUAGGCUUGAUCUACAUCUCAAAUUCUAUUAAGUAUUCAUGUUGUUAGAUUCGGACAUGAUCAUUCUUCUUAUCUUUGAGAAUCUCUCUGGGAUAAUCUAUUUGAAAAGUUGAUCUCUAAUUCUUUCAUUCGAAAAAAGUAAGCUCAAAGUUCAAUCCUUGAAGUAAGUACAUCCAGAUCCUCUGUUGUCAGUAUCAGAUGAGUCAGUGAUUCCUUAUCUCAUUUAUAGUAGCGAGUUUAGUCUGCAGUAAGGUGGUAGCUGAGUUUCAGUAUCUAGAGUUACGAUUAUUGUGUUCUCGUUUUGUGUAUUCUUGUAUGUGUUCUCAUAUGGCAUCUUCAUGAUUAGUCAGUUUAGAUAUUAUGCAUGUAUGAGCCCUUGCAUUAGCCUACCCUAUCUACAUACUCGGUACAUUCCUAUACUGAUGCAUCUAUGCUAAGGUUUUUUAUUUUACACCAUAGGUUCAGAGGCACAGGAUCUAGAGUAUCCUCAACAGUUCAAUCCCAGUCAGCAGUAGUAGUAGUCAGUUCUCUUCUUUCUAGGAUGAAUAUCAGUUUACUGUUAUUGCUUCAGACUUUGUUUAUUUUUAGUUGACGGAGUUAGUUGGGGACUUGUCCCAUCAACUCUACAGUUCAGAUAGUUUAGAGGCUUUUCAAACUGAUGUAUUAGUAUUUAGUUUUUUGUAGUAUGAGUAUCAUAGAUGUGUUGAACCUUAUGGCUAGUUUCCAUAUUUAUUUCAAAUAUUAUGCAUUGUAUAGGUAUGGAUAUCAGUAAAUGGUUAGCUUGUGGUCCAUCGGGGUCAUAAGCACCGUGUGACAUCUCGGGAUGGGAUAUCGGGGC